UUUGGUUUUGCUUUAGUUCAAGCUCUUCAACGGUUACUUAAGCUUUUUUUUAUAUUCUGGCUUUAUGUCAUAUUUAUUGUCAGAAUUGCAUCUUGUGUUGUUAUUUUAUAAAGUUUAUGUUUUUAGUAAAAUCUUAUUAAUAUUUCUAUUUGACAAUACCAUAUUACAUGUAUUUGUAUCUUGCUUGAGUCAAAUCAGAACAUAUUGAACAAGAAUUGAACAUUGGAACUCGGUAUAUUACUUUUGAGAAGAUGGAUGGUUGGAUGGAUGUUAUGUGAUCCAGUGGCAAGUUGAGUGC
rnacentral:lncRNA from 1 species